UCACUCUUUGGGAGAGUAGAUCGAGAGAGGAGAAAGAAAACAACGUCUCCAUCAUUUUGGCAUGCAGUGAUUUAAAGAAUUAAUUAUUUUAAAAUCAUUCCAGGCUUUACUCUUUAUAAUACAAGCGUUGUUAUUGCCAGAAGAGUAAAUGUAACACAGAAGAAGCCUAUAGCUACAUUUUUUCUGUUGAAAUUGGUAGAGAGGUAGCUGCUGUGAAGACCAAUUAUCAUUUAUUAGCAGAGGAGAUUGAAUUUGUAAAAGAUAUAUAAAGACAAUAAAAAGGUAAUCAUUGCUGUUUGCUGAAAUGAAUACAUCUGCUUCCGAGGCUGCUAUAAUCGGGUCGCUGAAAGCAAUCAAUCACUACUUAGACAAUGGGCAAGAUCCAAACUUCAAGUAUCCUUAUGAUUUGACGUUACUCCACAAAGCGGCAAUGAAUGGCAAUCUAGAGUGUGUGCAGUGUUUAGUUCAGCGAGGCAGUAAUGUAGAAUCAAGAGAUAUAACAGGUA